UACGUAGGGGGCAAGCGUUAUCCGGAUUUACUGGGUGUAAAGGGAGCGCAGACGGAAUGACAAGUCAGAAGUGAAAGCCCGGGGCUCAACCCCGCGGAUUGCUUUUGAAACUGUUAAUCUAGAGUGCAGGAGAGGCAAGUGGAAUUCCUAGUGUAGCGGUGAAAUGCGUAGAUAUUAGGAGGAACACCAGUGGCGAAGGCGACUUGCUGGACUGUAACUGACGUUGAGGCUCGAAAGCGUGGGGAGCAAACAGG
rnacentral:rRNA from 1 species